GUUUGCUGGUUUGAUUGUAUCGGCUGUGUUGUUUUUUUUAUCCUUUACAUUUUCGUUUUUCUUGGUCUCAUUAUCUUUUUCCGUAGUGGAUUCUUUUUUGGUGUUAUCUUUAUCUCCUGUUUCCGUUUCCUGGUUCGUAUUCUCGGUUUCUUCUGAAGGUGCGAAGAAAUAUCCCAAAACCAGGAAAAGGACAACUACUACACCAACAGUACUA
rnacentral:ribozyme from 1 species